rnacentral:rRNA from 1 species
UGGGGAAUAUUGGGCAAUGGGCGCAAGCCUGACCCAGCAACGCCGCGUGAGGGAAGAAUGUCUUCGGAUUGUAAACCUCUGUCCUUGGGGACGAAAAAAAUGACGGUACCCAAGGAGGAAGCUCCGGCUAACUACGUGCCAGCAGCCGCGGUAAUACGUAGGGAGCAAGCGUUGUCCGGAAUUACUGGGCGUAAAGGGUGCGUAGGUGGCAUGGCAAGUCAGAUGUGAAAUCCCCGGGCUUAACUCGGGUGGUGCAUUUGAAACUGCCAAGCUUGAGUGCAGGAGAGGAAAGCGGAAUUCCUAGUGUAGCGGUGAAAUGCGUAGAUAUUAGGAGGAACACCAGUGGCGAAGGCGGCUUUCUGGUCUGUAACUGACACUGAGGCGCGAAAGCGUGGGGAGCAAACA